CCUACGGGAGGUAGCAGUGAGGAAUAUUGGUCAAUGGACGAGAGUCUGAACCAGCCAAGUAGCGUGAAGGAUGACUGCUCUAUGGGUUGUAAACUUCUUUUAUAUGGGAAUAAAAUGUUCCACGUGUGGGAUUUUGUAUGUACCAUAUGAAUAAGGAUCGGCUAACUCCGUGCCAGCAGCCGCGGUAAUACGGAGGAUCCGAGCGUUAUCCGGAUUUAUUGGGUUUAAAGGGAGCGUAGGUGGAUUGUUAAGUUAGUUGUGAAAGUUUGCGGCUCAACAGUAAAAUUGCAGUUGAAACUGGCAGUCUUGAGUACAGUAGAGGUGGGCGGAAUUCGUGGUGUAGCGGUGAAAUGCUUAGAUAUCACGAAGAACUCCGAUUGCGAAGGCAGUUCACUGGACUGCAACUGACAUUGAGGCUCGAAAGUGUGGGUAUCAAACAGGAUUAGAUACCCCGGUAGUC
rnacentral:rRNA from 1 species